rnacentral:rRNA from 1 species
GUAGGGUGCGAGCGUUGUCCGGAAUUAUUGGGCGUAAAGGGCUCGUUGGCGGUUUGUCGCGUCGGGAGUGAAAACCCAGGGCUUAACCCUGGGCUGGCUUCCGAUACGGGCAGACUAGAGGUAUGCAGGGGAGAACGGAAUUCCUGGUGUAGCGGUGAAAUGCGCAGAUAUCAGGAGGAACACCGGAGGCGAAGGCGGUUCUCUGGGCAUUACCUGACGCUGAGGAGCGAAAGUGUGGGGAGCGAACAGGAUUAGAUACCCUGGUAGUCCACACCGUAAACGUUGGGCGCUAGGUGUGGGGUCCAUUCCACGGAUUCCGUGCCGCAGCUAACGCAUUAAGCGCCCCGCCUGGGGAGUACGGCCGCAAGGCUA